GUUGAAAAUUGGCUUCAAAUUUGUGGUUUGGAAGAACAGAGGAAUCGUGUCGCGAUUUGGCAAUCGUGACACGAUCGGAGAUGCCGUGAGCCAAGUUUGCUGGAAGCAAAAUCGUGGCACGAUCUUGGGAAAUCGUGACACGAUUCAGAAACUUGCUGGUUAAGUAUCUCUGAUAAGGACUGGUCAACCUGGGGACCGUUGCAGAUCGUGACACGAUCUAGGGAAAUCGUGGCACGAUUUCUUCAGGGCAGGACUAGUAUUUAAAGUGUUCUUGUGCUUUUUUGAAGACAACCUUAAGACAACCUUGAGAGAACUUAAGAGAGAAAACUUGGAGAUCAAAGAGGGGAUCCUUUGGGGUGUGUUCCUUUGAUGAGAGUGUUUCUUAGGUUGGGAAAACAACAUUGUAAUCACCUUGGGAUUUAGGGUUCAUAGUGUGAGGAUGGGAAAAUACCAAAGGGUAGAUCUAGGGUUUUGUCAUGUGUAAAGCUUGAUAAGCUAGAUUCUUGUAACUCUUUUGUAACACAUUCACAUAUUGGAUUGGAGAGCUGCUCUCUCCCCCAGAUUAGGCCACAUUGGCUGAACUGGGUCAACAAUCUUGCUUGGUGUUUGUUCUUUUCUUUUCAUGGUUUAUCUUGUUAUGCUUGUUAGCUCUUAGUGUGGUUUUUGCUAUACAUUAGGCUUAGGCUGUUUUGUUGUUGUUAGCUUGGAGGCCAUUUGCACUCAUAGAUUAUCUCUAUCACUUGCUCCACACAUCAUUGGUUUAUUCUAAUUGGUGUGAAGGUUCAUUAGUUGAGCCGGAUUCACAACAAUUGGCGCCCACCGUGGGGCAUAGGCGUGAUUGAUAGUUGGUAUCAUGGGGUCAAAGUGGGACAUCGAGAAGUUCACCGGAAGUAAUGAUUUCGGGUUAUGGAAGGUUAAGAUGCAAGCGGUAUUGACACAACAAAAGUGUGUAGAAGCAUUGAAGGGUGAAGCGGCGAUGCCGGCAACCUUGACACAAGAGGAGAAGCGUGAGAUGGUAGACAAGGCAAAGAGUGCCAUUGUCUUAUGUCUCGGAGAUAAGGUCUUAAGGGAUGUCGCGAGAGAAGCUACCGCAGCAUCGAUGUGGGCAAAGUUGGAGUCAUUGUAUAUGAUGAAAUCUUUGGCUCAUAGGCAACUCUUGAAGCAACAACUCUAUUCAUUCAAGAUGGUGGAGUCUAAAUCGAUCUCGGAGCAACUAACGGAGUUUAACAAGAUUCUUGAUAAUUUGGCCAACAUUAAAUUUAACAUGGAAAAUAAGGAUAAGGCUUUGUUGUUACUUUGUUCAUUACCAAAGUCCUUUGAGCAUUUCAAGGAUACCAUUCUUUAUGGUAAGGAGGGCACUACUACUUUGGAGGAGGUCCAAGCGGCUUUGAGAACCAAAGAAUUGACCAAGUUCAAGGACAUGAGGGUUGAUGAAGGUAGUGAAGGCUUGAAUGUUACAAGAGGGAGGAAUGAGCAUAGAGGAAAAGGCAAAGGGAAAUCAAGAUCCAAGUCUAGGUCCAAGGGCUUUGACAAAUCAAAGUAUAAAUGCUUUCUUUGUCACAAGCAAUAGGGAUGGCAAUGGGUACCCAAUGGAUAGGGUACUACAAUGUCCGUCUCCAUACCCGCAUUUAUAAAAAAUACCCGUACCCGUGCCCGUACCCUUGUGGGCAACAACUUUAGUCCCCUUCCCCAUACCCUAUGGGUACUUAAUUACUCAUACCCGCACUCAUUACCCGCACUUUAACUAUGGAAAAACAAAAAAAACAUCACAAAUGAAAUAAAACUACGAUCCCAAUUUUUUAAAAUUAACUCAUAAAAUAAUAUGAACUAUGGUAUUUAGUCAAAUAGAAAACAUCCGAAAUAUUCCUAAAAAAUUAUACACCGGCAUGAUGGAGUUGUUAUUGUAUUAAGUAGUUGUUUGGUUUAAGUUUAGGUUUAGGCUUAAAUAACUAAAUAAAUUAAUUAAUUAUACAUAAAAAAUAAAUAAAUAAUUUAUGAUAUUAUAUAAAUAUGCAUAUGCGGGUCUGCGGGUCUGGGCAGUAUAGUACCCUUACCCGUGCCCAUACCCAUUUAAUUUUUUGGGUAUUACCCGUACCCGUGCCCAGACCCAUAAAAGCGGGGUUUUACCCUACCCAUUAUGGGUAUUUUUUGCGGGUAUCCAUUGGGUCUGGGUCCAAUUGCCAUCCCUAACAAGCAAGGUCAUUUCAAGAAAGAUUGUCCGGAUAAGGGGGGCGAAAGUGGUCCCUCGGUUCAAGUUGCGGAGGCUUCAAAUGAAGAAGGUUAUGAGAGUGCGGGUGCGCUAGUGGUAACAAGUUGGGAACCGGAGAAGAGUUGGGUUUUGGACUCGGGAUGCUCUUAUCACAUGUGUCCUAGAAAGGAAUAUUUUGAGACUUUGAUUCUAAAAGAAGGAGGAGUUGUUCGACUCAGAAAUAACAAAGCUUGCAAAGUCCAAGGCACGGGCAACGUUCGUCUAAAGAUGUUUGAUGGCCGUGAAUUCCUUUUAAGGGAUGUGAGGUUUGUUCCCGAACUUAAGCGAAAUUUAAUUUCCAUAAGCAUGUUUGAUAAUCUAGGUUAUUGCACUAGAAUAGAGCAUGGGGUUUGUAAAAUUUCGCAUGGUGCAUUGAUUACGGUAAAGGGGUCUAGAAUGAAUGGUUUAUACAUUUUAGAUGGUUCCAUAGUAAUUGGUAAUGCAUCGGUAGCCAGUGUUGCAUAUCAUAAUAAUUCUGAAUUGUGGCAUUUGAGGUUGGGGCAUGUUAGUGAGAGGGGUUUAGUUGAACUAGCUAAACAAGGUUUGCUAGGGAAAGAUAAAUUGGACAAGCUUGAAUUUUGUGAACAUUGCAUACUAGGCAAACAACAUAGGGUGAAGUUUGGAAGUGGCAUGCAUCAUUCUAGUAGACCUUUUGAGUAUGUGCAUUCAGAUCUUUGGGGUCCUUCUAAGAGUCCUACUCAUGGGGGAGGUUCCUAUUUUCUUUCUAUCAUUGAUGAUUAUUCUAGGAGAGUGUGGGUCUUUGUUUUGAAAAACAAAAGUGACACCUUUGAAAAGUUCAAAGAAUGGCACACUCUCAUAGAAAAUCAAAUGGGAACUAAACUAAAAGGUUUAAGAACUGACAAUGGCCUGGAGUUUGUUUCAGAGCAGUUUAAUGAGUUUUGCAGGUUGAAAGGAAUCAAGAGGCAUAGAACCGUACCAAGAACACCUCAACAAAAUGGUCUUGCGGAACGCAUGAAUAGGACUCUUUUGGAGCGUGUGAGGUGUAUGAUUCUAGGAGCUGGGUUACCUAAGAGUUUCUGAGGUGAAGCCGUGACAACGGCUGCUUAUUUGAUCAAUAGAUGUCCAUCAACGGGAAUAGACUUCAAGAUACCUAUGGAGGUAUGGAGUGGGAAACCGGCGGAUUACUCCUCUUUGAAGGUUUUCGGAGCUUUGGCAUAUGCGCAUAUCAAGCAAGACAAGCUUGAGCCUAGAGCUUUGAAAUGUGUCUUCAUUGGUUAUCAGGAAGGUGUGAAGGGAUACAAGUUGUGGAAAUUGGAAUCUAGUGGAAGAUCAAGAGUCUUGAUAAGUAGGGAUGUUACCUUUGAUGAGACCCGGAUGGGGAUGAAGUGUAAAGACCUAGAGACUCAAGUACCGGAAACUAUGGUGGAGAGAACUCAGUUUGAGGUGGAGCUUCCAAAUGAAGAAGAAGAAGAUGUAGAAGAUGAAGCUUCAACAUCGGAUACAAGUGGAACUCAACCGGUAGUGGAUCCUGAGUAUCUAUUGGCAAGAGAUAGAGAAAGAAGGACCAUUACGGCUCCUAAGAGAUUCGGUUAUGCGGACUUGGUGUGUUUUGCUCUAAAUGCGGCGGAAGAUGUGCAAGACUCGGAGCCUAGAGACUUCAAGGAGGCAUUUGAGAGCAAAGAGAGCAAAUAUUGGUUGAAGGCGGUGAAUGAAGAAAUGGAUUCAUUGGAAAGGAACCAAACUUGGAAACUUGUGAAGUUACCUAAUCACAAAAGGGUAGUUGGAUGCAAGUGGAUCUUCAAGAAAAAGGAUGGCAUUCCGGGUGUUGAAGGUCCAAGGUACAAAGCAAGACUUGUGGAAAAGGGUUUCACUCAAGUGGAGGGGAUCGACUACAACGAGAUCUUUUCACCGGUGGUGAAGCAUUGUUCCAUAAGGAUACUUAUGGCUAUUGUGAAUCAAUUCAAUCUUGAGUUGGAACAGAUGGAUGUGAAGACCGCUUUCUUACAUGGUGACCUUGAAGAGACAAUCUACAUGGAACAACCGGAAGGUUUUGUGGAGGACAAGUCUAAGGUGUGUCUUUUGAAGAAAUCUUUGUACGGGUUGAAGCAAAGCCCUAGGCAAUGGUAUCGUCAGUUUGAUGAGUUUCUUUUGAAGACCGGUUUUGUGAGAAGCGGAUAUGAUUCUUGUGUGUACAUGUUGAAGAAGAAUGAGAAAGUCAUUCUCUAUCUUCUUUUAUAUGUGGAUGAUAUCUUGAUGGCGAGCUCUAGCAAGGAUGAGAUUAUGAAGCUCAAGGAGAGGUUAAAUGGUGAAUUUGAGAUGAAAGAUCUUGGUCCGGCAAAGAGAGUUCUUGGGAUUGAUAUCGUGAGGAAUCGUGACAAAGGGGAACUUUUCUUAUCUCAACUUGGUUAUUUGAAGAAGGUGGUGGAGCGUUUUAGAAUGUCAAACUUUAAAACCGUAAGCACUCCCUUGGGUCACCACACAAAGUUGUCCAUACAACAAUGUCCUUAAUCCGAGGAUGAGAAGCAAUUGAUGGAAGGUACUCCCUAUGCAAGUGGGGUUGGAAGCAUCAUGUAUGGAAUGGUUUGUAGUAGGCCGGACUUGGCUUAUGCGGUUAGCAUUGUGAGUCGGUUUAUGGCAAAUCCGGGAAUUGUGCAUUGGCAAGCUUUGAAGUGGGUGUUGAGGUAUUUGAAUGGGUCGUUGAAGGGCGGUUUGAAGUACACAAGGGCAGCUCAAGAUGAAGACGCUUUGGAGGGGUAUGUUGAUGCGGAUUAUGCGGGCAACGUGGACACUAGAAAAUCCUUGUCGGGUUUUGUGUUUACUCUUUAUGGCACAGCGAUUAGUUGGAAGGCAAAUCAACAAUCCGUGGUGGCAUUAUCUACAACUCAAGCGGAGUACAUCGCACUUGUUGAAGGUGUGAAGGAGGCCAUAUGGUUGAAAGGGAUGAUUGGUGAGUUAGGAAUUACUCAAGAAUGUGUGAAGAUACAUUGUGAUAGUCAAAGUGCCAUUCACUUGGCAAAUCAUCAAGUGUAUCAUGAAAGGACAAAGCACAUUGACAUUCGCCUGCACUUUGUCAGAGACAUGAUUGAAGCAAAAGAGAUUGUGGUUGAGAAAGUGGCAUCAGAGGAGAAUCCGGCGGAUGUGUUCACCAAGUCAUUGCCUCGAUCAAGAUUCAAGCAUUGCUUGGACUUGAUCAAGUUUGUCGAAGAGUAAUUCCCUUUGGAGAGAGCAGCAUGGUGGUUGAUGGUUAUAUUGACAUCACCACCAAAUUAGAAGUCAAGGUGGAGAAAUGUUGAAAAUUGGCUUCAAAUUUGUGGUUUGGAAGAACAGAGGAAUCGUUUCGCGAUUUGGCAAUCGUGACACGAUCGGAGAUGCCGUGAGCCAAGUUUGCUGGAAGCAAAAUCGUGGCACGAUCUUGGGAAAUCGUGACACGAUUCAGAAACUUGCUGGUUAAGUAUCUCUGAUAAGGACUGGUCAACCUGGGGACCGUUGCAGAUCGUGACACGAUCUAGGGAAAUCGUGGCACGAUUUCUUCAGGGCAGGACUAGUAUUUAAAGUGUUCAUGUGCUUUUUUGAAGACAACCUUAAGACAACCUUGAGAGAACUUAAGAGAGAAAACUUGGAGAUCAAAGAGGGGAUCCUUUGGGGUGUGUUCCUUUGAUGAGAGUGUUUCUUAGGUUGGGAAAACAACAUUGUAAUCACCUUGGGAUUUAGGGUUCAUAGUGUGAGGAUGGGAAAAUACCAAAGGGUAGAUCUAGGGUUUUGUCAUGUGUAAAGCUUGAUAAGCUAGAUUCUUGUAACUCUUUUGUAACACAUUCACAUAUUGGAUUGGAGAGCUGCUCUCUCCCCCAGAUUAGG
rnacentral:lncRNA from 1 species